rnacentral:rRNA from 1 species
GAUGAACGCUGGCGGCGUGCCUAAUACAUGCAAGUCGAGCGAACGGACGAGAAGCUUGCUUUUCUGAUGUUAGCGGCGGACGGGUGGGUAACACGUGGAUAACCUACCUAUAAGACUGGGAUAACUUCGGGAAACCGGAGCUAAUACCGGAUAAUAUUUUGAACCGCAUGGUUCAUAAGUGAAAGACGGUCUUGCUGUCACUUAUAGAUGGAUCCGCGCUGCAUUAGCUAGUUGGUAAGGUAACGGCUUACCAAGGCAACGAUGCAUAGCCGACCUGAGAGGGUGAUCGGCCACACUGGAACUGAGACACGGUCCAGACUCCUACGGGAGGCAGCAGUAGGGAAUCUUCCGCAAUGGGCGAAAGCCUGACGGAGCAACGCCGCGUGAGUGAUGAAGGUCUUCGGAUCGUAAAACUCUGUUAUUAGGGAAGAACAUAUGUGUAAGUAAAUGUGCACAUCUUGACGGUACCUAAUCAGAAAGCCACGGCUAACUACGUG